AGGGGGAGCACGGGAUCCUGGGCUGUGUCCCCCGCGCCCUGAGCUCCCGGGCCUGCGCUGCUGGAAUCGGACUCCCGGGCCACGCAGCCCCCU
rnacentral:pre_miRNA from 1 species